rnacentral:ncRNA from 1 species
GACGUCGCUUUUUGAUCCCUUCGAUGUCGGCUCUUCCUAUCAUUGUGAAGCAAAAUUCACCAAGCGUUGGAUUGUUCACCCAUGCAAGGGAACGUGAGCUGGGUUUAGACCGUCGUGAGACAGGUUAGUUUUACCCUACUAAUGACAAAACGUUGUUGCGACAGCAUUCCUGCGUAGUACGAGAGGAACCGCAGGUACGGACCAAUGGCACAAUACUUGUUCGAGCGAACAGUGGUAUGACGCUACGUCCGUUGGAUUAUGCCUGAACGCCUCUAAGGUCGUAUCCGUGCUGGACUGCAAUGAUAAAUAAGGGGCAAUUUGCAUUGUAUGGCUUCUAAACCAUUAAAAGUUUAUUUUAUAAACGACAAUGGAUGUGAUGCCAAUGUUAUUUGUAACAUAGUAAAUUGGGAGGAUCUUCGAUCACCUGAUGCCGCGCUAGUUACUUAUUAAAACAUUAUUUAAUACAAUGACAAAGCCUAGAAUCAAUUGUAAACGACUUUUGUAACAGGCAAGGUGUUGUAAGUGGUUGAGCAGCUGCCAUACUGCGAUCCACUGAAGCUUAUCCUUUGCUUGAUGAUUCGA